CGCAAUGGGCGCAAGCCUGACGGAGCAACGCCGCGUGAGGGAUGAAGGCCUCUGGGCUGUAAACCUCUUUUAUCAAGGAAGAAGAACUGACGGUACUUGAUGAAUAAGCCACGGCUAAUUCCGUGCCAGCAGCCGCGGUAAUACGGGAGUGGCAAGCGUUAUCCGGAAUUAUUGGGCGUAAAGCGUCCGCAGGCGGUUUUACAAGUCUGUCGUUAAAGCGUGGAGCUCAACUCCAUUUCAGCGAUGGAAACUGUAAGACUCGAGUGUGGUAGGGGCAGAGGGAAUUCCCGGUGUAGCGGUGAAAUGCGUAGAUAUCGGGAAGAACACCAGUGGCGAAAGCGCUCUGCUGGGCCAUAACUGACGCUCAUGGACGAAAGCCAGGGGAGCGAAAGGGAUUAGAUACCCCUGUAGUCCUGGCCGUAAACGAUGAACACUAGGUGUCGGGGGAAUCGACCCCUCCGGUGUCGUAGCCAACGCGUUAAGUGUUCCGCCUGGGGAGUACGCACGCAAGUGUGAAACUCAAAGGAAUUGACGGGGGCCCGCACAAGCGGUGGAGUAUGUGGUUUAAUUCGAUGCAACGCGAAGAACCUUACCAGGGCUUGACAUCCUGCGAAUCCCUUGGAAACGAGGGAGUGCCUUCGGGAGCGCAGAGACAGGUGGUGCAUGGCU
rnacentral:rRNA from 1 species